GAUGAACGCUGGCGGCGUGCCUAAUACAUGCAAGUCGAGCGAACGGACGAGAAGCUUGCUUCUCUGAUGUUAGCGGCGGACGGGUGAGUAACACGUGGAUAACCUACCUAUAAGACUGGGAUAACUUCGGGAAACCGGAGCUAAUACCGGAUAAUAUUUUGAACCGCAUGGUUCAAAAGUGAAAGACGGUCUUGCUGUCACUUAUAGAUGGAUCCGCGCUGCAUUAGCUAGUUGGUAAGGUAACGGCUUACCAAGGCAACGAUGCAUAGCCGACCUGAGAGGGUGAUCGGCCACACUGGAACUGAGACACGGUCCAGACUCCUACGGGAGGCAGCAGUAGGGAAUAUUCCGCAAUGGGCGAAAGCCUGACGGAGCAACGCCGCGUGAGUGAUGAAGGUCUUCGGAUCGUAAAGCUCUGUUAUUAGGAAAGAACAUAAGUGUAAGUAACUGUGCACAUCUUGACGGUACCUAAACAGAAAGCACCGGCUAACUACGUG
rnacentral:rRNA from 1 species